UACGUAGGGGGCUAGCGUUGUCCGGAAUCAUUGGGCGUAAAGCGCGUGUAGGCGGGCGACUAAGUCGGAUGUGAAAUCCCUGGGCUCAACCUAGGAACUGCAUUCGAAACUGGUCACCUAGAGUGAUGGAGAGGAAAGCGGAAUUCCCGGUGUAGAGGUGAAAUUCGUAGAUAUCGGGAGGAACACCAGUGGCGAAGGCGGCUUCUGGACAUUUACUGACGCUGAGACGCGAAAGCGUGGGGAGCAAACAGG
rnacentral:rRNA from 1 species